GACGAACGCUGGCGGCGUGCUUAACACAUGCAAGUCGAACGGAAAGGCCCAGCUUGCUGGGUGCUCGAGUGGCGAACGGGUGAGUAACACGUGGGUGAUCUGCCCCUAACUUCGGGAUAAGCUUGGGAAACUGGGUCUAAUACCGGAUAGGACAAUCGUUUAGUGUCGGUUGUGGAAAGUUUUUUCGGUUAGGGAUGAGCCCGCGGCCUAUCAGCUUGUUGGUGGGGUAAUGGCCUACCAAGGCGUCGACGGGUAGCCGGCCUGAGAGGGUGGACGGCCACAUUGGGACUGUGAUACGGCCCAGACUCCUACGGGAGGCAGCAGUGGGGAAUAUUGCACAAUGGGCGCAAGCCUGAUGCAGCGACGCCGCGUGGGGGAUGACGGCCUUCGGGUUGUAAACCUCUUUCGACAGGGACGAAGCUUUGGUGACGGUACCUGUAUAAGAAGCACCGGCUAACUACGUG
rnacentral:rRNA from 1 species